UUUGCUCUUUAAAAAUCUGGAUCAAGCUGAAAAUUGAAACACAGAACAACGAAAGUUGUUCGUGAGUCUCUCAAAUUUUCGCAACACGAUGAUGAAUCGUAAGAAACAUCUUCGGGUUGUGAGGUUAAGCGACUAAGCGUACACGGUGGAUGCCCUGGCAGUCAGAGGCGAUGAAGGACGUGCUAAUCUGCGAUAAGCGCCGGUAAGGUGAUAUGAACCGUUAUAACCGGCGAUUUCCGAAUGGGGAAACCCAGUGUGAUUCGUCACACUAUCAUUAACUGAAUCCAUAGGUUAAUGAGGCGAACCGGGGGAACUGAAACAUCUAAGUACCCCGAGGAAAAGAAAUCAACCGAGANNNNNNNNNNNNNNNNNNNNCCAGAGCCUGAAUCAGCAUGUGUGUUAGUGGAAGCGUCUGGAAAGGCGCGCGAUACAGGGUGACAGCCCCGUACACAAAAGCGCAUGUGCUGUGAGCUCGAUGAGUAGGGCGGGACACGUGGUAUCCUGUCUGAAUAUGGGGGGACCAUCCUCCAAGGCUAAAUACUCCUGACUGACCGAUAGUGAACCAGUACCGUGAGGGAAAGGCGAAAAGAACCCCGGCGAGGGGAGUGAAAAAGAACCUGAAACCGUGUACGUACAAGCAGUGGGAGCACAGGUUUACCUGUGUGACUGCGUACCUUUUGUAUAAUGGGUCAGCGACUUAUAUUCUGUAGCAAGGUUAACCGUAUAGGGGAGCCGGAGGGAAACCGAGUCUUAACCGGGCGUUAAGUUGCAGGGUAUAGACCCGAAACCCGGUGAUCUAGCCAUGGGCAGGUUGAAGGUUGGGUAACACUAACUGGAGGACCGAACCGACUAAUGUUGAAAAAUUAGCGGAUGACCUGUGGCUGGGGGUGAAAGGCCAAUCAAACCGGGAGAUAGCUGGUUCUCCCCGAAAGCUAUUUAGGUAGCGCCUCGUGAAUUCAUCUCCGGGGGUAGAGCACUGUUUCGGCUAGGGGGCCAUCCCGGCUUACCAACCCGAUGCAAACUGCGAAUACCGGAGAAUGUUAUCACGGGAGACACACGGCGGGUGCUAACGUCCGUCGUGAAGAGGGAAACAACCCAGACCGCCAGCUAAGGUCCCAAAGUCAUGGUUAAGUGGGAAACGAUGUGGGAAGGCCCAGACAGCCAGGAUGUUGGCUUAGAAGCAGCCAUCAUUUAAAGAAAGCGUAAUAGCUCACUGGUCGAGUCGGCCUGCGCGGAAGAUGUAACGGGGCUAAACCAUGCACCGAAGCUGCGGCAGCGACACUCAGGUGUUGUUGGGUAGGGGAGCGUUCUGUAAGCCUGUGAAGGUGGCCUGUGAGGGUUGCUGGAGGUAUCAGAAGUGCGAAUGCUGACAUAAGUAACGAUAAAGCGGGUGAAAAGCCCGCUCGCCGGAAGACCAAGGGUUCCUGUCCAACGUUAAUCGGGGCAGGGUGAGUCGACCCCUAAGGCGAGGCCGAAAGGCGUAGUCGAUGGGAAACGGGUUAAUAUUCCCGUACUUGGUGUUACUGCGAAGGGGGGACGGAGAAGGCUAUGUUGGCCGGGCGACGGUUGUCCCGGUUUAAGCGUGUAGGUGUGUGUUCCAGGUAAAUCCGGUUCACUUUAACACUGAGGCGUGACGACGAGGCACUACGGUGCUGAAGCAACAAAUGCCCUGCUUCCAGGAAAAGCCUCUAAGCAUCAGGUAACAUCAAAUCGUACCCCAAACCGACACAGGUGGUCAGGUAGAGAAUACCAAGGCGCUUGAGAGAACUCGGGUGAAGGAACUAGGCAAAAUGGUGCCGUAACUUCGGGAGAAGGCACGCUGACACGUAGGUGAAGUGAUUUACUCAUGGAGCUGAAGUCAGUCGAAGAUACCAGCUGGCUGCAACUGUUUAUUAAAAACACAGCACUGUGCAAACACGAAAGUGGACGUAUACGGUGUGACGCCUGCCCGGUGCCGGAAGGUUAAUUGAUGGGGUCAGCGCAAGCGAAGCUCCUGAUCGAAGCCCCGGUAAACGGCGGCCGUAACUAUAACGGUCCUAAGGUAGCGAAAUUCCUUGUCGGGUAAGUUCCGACCUGCACGAAUGGCGUAAUGAUGGCCAGGCUGUCUCCACCCGAGACUCAGUGAAAUUGAACUCGCUGUGAAGAUGCAGUGUACCCGCGGCAAGACGGAAAGACCCCGUGAACCUUUACUAUAGCUUGACACUGAACAUUGAGCCUUGAUGUGUAGGAUAGGUGGGAGGCUUUGAAGUGUGGACGCCAGUCUGCAUGGAGCCGACCUUGAAAUACCACCCUUUAAUGUUUGAUGUUCUAACGUGGACCCGUUACCCGGGUUGCGGACAGUGUCUGGUGGGUAGUUUGACUGGGGCGGUCUCCUCCUAAAGAGUAACGGAGGAGCACGAAGGUUGGCUAAUCCUGGUCGGACAUCAGGAGGUUAGUGCAAUGGCAUAAGCCAGCUUGACUGCGAGCGUGACGGCGCGAGCAGGUGCGAAAGCAGGUCAUAGUGAUCCGGUGGUUCUGAAUGGAAGGGCCAUCGCUCAACGGAUAAAAGGUACUCCGGGGAUAACAGGCUGAUACCGCCCAAGAGUUCAUAUCGACGGCGG
rnacentral:rRNA from 1 species